rnacentral:rRNA from 1 species
UACAGAGGUGGCAAGCGUUGUUCGGAAUUACUGGGCGUAAAGGGCGCGUAGGCGGCCAUCUAAGUCAGACGUGAAAUCCCCCGGCUUAACCUGGGAACUGCGUCUGAUACUGGACGGCUUGAGUAUGGGAGAGGGAUGUAGAAUUCCAGGUGUAGCGGUGAAAUGCGUAGAUAUCUAGAGGAAUACCGGUGGCGAAGGCGGCAUCCUGGACCAUUACUGACGCUGAGGCGCGAAAGCUAGGGGAGCAAACGGG